rnacentral:rRNA from 1 species
GGGUUCUUCCGUUGGUCAGGCUAACAAGUCUGUACUAGCAUGUAGAAUCUCUACUUUCUGGGGAACUAUCAUGUUAUUAAUUUAGCGUGGUGGGAAACCAGGACCUUUACCUUGAAAAAAUUAGAGUGUUUAAAGCAGGCAUUUUUGCUCGAAUACAUUAGCAUGGAAUAAUAGAAUAGGACGGCAUGGUUCUAUUUUGUUGGUUUCUAGGAUCACCGUA